CGCAAUUAAAAGAAAAGGUAUGGCGGAAUCUGAGAACAAGUUCGAGUUUGAUGCUGACUAGGCUAGCAACCCAGUGUCUCGUAUCAUGAAAUGUUUUUCCCGUUCCUGUCACAUACGCAAACCACGUUUUCUUUUGUUUGCUUUCGUCCAUCGCUGCCGAGAACGGCCGGCACGACAUGGACCCGGUCGUGUCGUGCACUCAUCUGCUGGCCGAGGACGAUGCCGGAUUUUCUGGCUUCGUCACCAGGUGAAGCGUGGGAGGCAGCACCGGAGGCAGCUGUACGAGUCAGAGCAACAAGGUGAGCUCAUCGAGCAGUUUUCUUGCGUCGUAAUUUUUCCAAUACCUCUCGCUCUGCACGGUGAAUUGCCUGUAAAAUUAUUUCGGUAGCUCUAUACUCGAGCAGCCCAGCGUCACAAGGUCGACUGCGGUGUGCAAGGUCGACCUGACUUCUUUGGCAGCGAGGUGAACAUCUCCUGCAGCAUGCUCAUGUCAAGCCACAUGUAGCAGCUGCGAGCAACGUACGUGACACAGUGUUCAUGCCACUGGCAAGGCUGCAGCACACUCUGUUGUCCUCGCGCAGCCGGAUGCUCCAUUUUGGAUGUCGGUUGGCCAGGAUGUCCAGCAAGUUCCAGAGCAGCGUGCUCACCGGAAGUU
rnacentral:lncRNA from 1 species